UAUUCGGUGGGUGUUCUCACGUUAAGUUUAUAAGUUGAAUCCUUUGCACCGUGAUAUCAGGUAACUUGUAUAAUCUUCUAGCAAAUCUUUUCUUUAUUAGAAAUAAAUUGUAUCGAUUAAUGACCAAGUAGUUAAAAAUCAGAAUAUUCUUUCUAAUCUAUUGAAUCGAUUUCAAUAAUUGAAUGAGUAAAGGUAUAUAUCUGGGGAAAGAUUUGGUUUGCAAGGGAUAUUGGAAUUAGUCGUUGUUUAAGAGUUUAAUUCAACUAAAAAUACAUGUUUUAUUCUUUAUAAAUCCACUAAUUGAUAAAUUGUAUAUAUACUGUAUUAACUUUAGUUCAAAAUUGAUAUUUAAAUUGAUGGUUUCAUUAUUAUUAUUUUUAGUACAAUGUAAAUACUAUAUUUUUAAAAUUGUGGGUUUAAAUUGAUGGUUUCAUUAUGCUGGUAGUACAAUGUAAAUACUAUAUGUAUUUUUAAAAUUCAUAAACAAAAGUUUCAAAUUUUAUGGUAUUAGGAUAUAGGGUUUGUUCUGAAUUUUAUUAGAUUGAGCUUAAAAGGUGUUGUGAUUGGGUCGAAUCUGUUUUGGUUUUAAUGUUGCUGUAAUUGAACUUUAAAAUAGUUAAGUUAUUUCUGAUUGGUCAAUAAAUACGGACAAUUUUCAUUAAAAAAAUGAAGGCAGUUGUGGGAACCGAAAU
rnacentral:lncRNA from 1 species